GGGCCGUGAUGGCGCUGGCCACCUCUGGAACCUGAUUGGUCAACUCAGGCGCCACCCCAGUUGAUUGACAGCUUACUGUACGUCUCGUUGAAAGAAGCGCAUUGUCGAAAGACAAACGUAGAUUUAACAUCUUUGAAAACACGAAUGGACCCAGAGGACAUACUUUAAAUUCCUGAUUGUGAAGUAAGUUUUCAGGUGGUUUCCUGGUGAGUAACUGUUUUAAACUAGAAGAGAUUUUGUCCCCAAUAGAUGAACUGUGCCAGUAAGCUAACCGUUAGCCUGCUCGCACAGUAUGUUAGCGGCUAACGUUAUGAAAGGCUAUAACCGUUAACGUUAGCAUGAAGCUACGUAGCAUUAGAUAAGGAUGAUGUGGGGAAACCAGGUCAUAGUUAGUUUUUCAGUAAAGCUAUUUACGGACCUUGAAUCAACUGAGUUGGCAAUAAUUUCAUGCUAGAGCUCAAAAUAAACAGUAUGAAUGCUAAGAGAUGAGCUCAAUGUCCAUGUAGCUUGUUUGCUAUUGUAAAAGUCUCAAAUGUAGAGAAUUGACUGAGCGCUGACUAGUCUACAUGGUCCAGUUGAAUUUUACAGUUUCUAGGCUGGUACUUGAUUUAAAACUAUUAGACAGAUGAUGAAUAUAUGCAUCUCCUUACACUGUCACUCAUCAAAUACAUAUAUUUUUGAGAUACGAAAAGUAUUUUCCUAAGUUGUAAUCAGUUUACCUGCACAUCUAGCGGACCAAAGACCCCAAAAGCACACCUUCCUUCUCUUCACCUCGCUCUCACCAUCCGAUGUUGAAGACCUGGCUUUCCAGAGGAUGCACAUUCGCCAUGGUUGCCUCAGUGACCCUGAGGUCAAAGAGGGAAUCCUGUACAGGUAACCAUGUUCCAGGUAAAGGAGCAAGGGUCCCCACCUGGCUGUCAGUAAGGGGGACUUCACAACAGGAGGGGUAUCAUUUCCAUCAGUCACAGUGGAUUAAUGGAACACGUGUAUCCUGUGAACUGUUCCCAGGCCAGAGAAUGACCGACAGAGUUCUCCUGCUCCUGUUCUCGUGCUUCUCUCUUCUGGACAAACUCCAUCCACAAUCCAAACACCACCCACUGCUGUGCCCGAGUCUCAGUCCUAGUCUCAACCAGCCAGACCUAAAGCAAUCCACAGGCUGCAGAUUCUGCCCCAAGGGAGCGUGGAACCUCCGAUUCAAUUGGAGUGCAGGAACGAAGAAGCAUAGAGAUCACACACAUGGGCAGCAGCACACUUGUGUUCUCUCACAUUUUUCUCCUUUCUGCAAGCAGGAUUGGUUCUAACCCUUCAUGCACGUUUAAGUGCUGGGGUUUUCUUAUUGUAGUUUAUUAUUUGUAGUUUGGGUUGGCGAUUAAUGGUUGUUCAGUUUUUCGUCUCUUUUGUUCCUUUUGACUGGGAUCUUCAGCCCCCUUUUGUUUGUCCCUGGUUUUCUUUUGGGAUAAUUUGAAUAAUUUAUAAAGCUUGUGAGUUAGCCUUUUAAAGCUCAUGCAAUUUGGAUAUUUGAAUAGAUGAUGGUGUUGUUUGAAUGUGGUCUAAUUAAACAUUGAUUGUGAGUUAAAAUCUUGUUUUACUUGAUUUCAUCUUCAAGGUACUGAAGAGCUGUUUUCACAAUGAAU
ensembl:lncRNA